UACGGGGGGGGCAAGCGUUGUUCGGAAUUACUGGGCGUAAAGGGUUCGUAGGUGGCCAACUUAGUCAGACGUGAAAUCCCUCAGCUUAACUGGGGAACUGCGUCUGAUACUGGAUGGCUCGAGUGCAGGAGAGGAACGCGGAAUUCCAGGUGUAGCGGUGAAAUGCGUAGAUAUCUGGAGGAACACCGGUGGCGAAGGCGGCGUUCUGGACUGCAACUGACACUGAGGAACGAAGGCCAGGGGAGCAAACGGG
rnacentral:rRNA from 1 species